UACGUAGGCGGCUACGCAAGUUGGGUGUGAAAGCCCGGGGCUCAACCCCGGAACUGCACUCAAAACUGUUUAGCUAGAGUUCGGAAGAGGUAAGUGGAAUUCCCAGUGUAGAGGUGAAAUUCGUAGAUAUUGGGAAGAACACCAGUGGCGAAGGCGGCUUACUGGUCCGAUACUGACGCUGAGGUACGAAAGCGUGGGGAGCGAACA
rnacentral:rRNA from 1 species